AAACUAAAUUUGACAGCAACAACACCAAACUGGCUUUUACAAUAAAAUGAAUUAUGCAGUUGGGUUAAGUUGAGAUGUUAUGCAUGAAUGCAUGAUUCCAUCACUCUUUUCAUCUCUCUCCGUCGCAACUGCCUCUCCUCCCUCUCUCUAGUAACUGCCUCCCCUCACUCUCCCUCAGUCUCACUCUCCAACUACAACAUGGUUUCAAUUUUCUUUUUCCUUCCCGUUGCCAUGGUAUUCAAUCGGAGCUCCAUGGUUUCAGUGUUCUUCUUCAUUAUAGUGCCCUAACCUGCAAUGGGUGUUCAAUCCGAGCUCCAGGUUUCUGUUUUCAUCUUCCUUAUAGUGCCAUAACCUGCAAUGGGUGUUUGGACCAGAGAGAAUCAAGGCGUACGUUUGCCUCAGCGUCCCUUUCAAGCCCAAAAACCCAAAAGGCAGGCCCGUUGAUGCCAUGCGGGCCCUCUAUGAGGAUGACUACUACAUCUUCAUAUUCCAGCCAUCGCUGGAGCUGGGUGUUUGACUAGAUAUUUGAACAAGCUUUCAAAGAAUGUCGAUGGUUCAUCUCCUUUGUCAUUAGAGGAUUCCUAUUUUGAGAAUGAUGUGUCCCCAAUCCAACCCUUCUGCACACAACCAGGGAGAGAUUCUUUAUAUAGAAGGGCCUCAGAUGUGGAUUCAGAGGAUUGUCUUUUGGCUUCUGACGAAGGGCUUCAAAGUGACAUUCGAAGGCUCUUCAGGAAUUGCAGUGAGAGUGAUGUCCUUUCUCUAUCUAACUUUAAUGAUUAUGGAAAUGAGCAAGGCUCCAAUGUUGUUGGCAAUUGUGGUUUCCUACCCUAUGAUUUGUCUGCAGGAACAUUCGGCCAUAGUCCUCAUGGAAAUAGAAUCUCUCACAGGACUAAGCAUCUGUAUGGGCAUAUUAGUAGACCUUCAAACUCCUUAACAAGUUGCCUAAUGGCUCAGAAGAGCAAGUCAAAUUGGAAGAAUCUGUCUUUUUGCCAUCCAUGGCAACAAGGUCAUUUCUUGUUGGUGAUGGGAACCAAGUGAUCAGAAGAGAAAAUUAUGUUGAUUCUUUCAGUGGAAUAACCGGAAGUGAAGAAUAUAGGUUGUAUAGAGAAGGCAAUAAGGUGAAGGAUAAAAGUGUAUUAUUCGGAGUUCCUUCCUUUUCCAAGAUUGGAUCUUCUAAUGAUGCCAAGAAGAUGAAGGCUAAUGCUGGCAAUGGACGAAGUAUGAAAUUGUGCCCUACUAGCAAUGUGUUAAGUGGAAGGCACAUCCAUACUCAACGUGAGAGCAUUGGAAGUGUCUCCCAAUUGCCCGGCAGCUGUGAUCAAAGGGGUUUCUUUCCAUUCAACUGUUUAAGCUUUAUCAAGGGACGAGUGGAACGACCGUGGGACGCUUCAAAACUCGAAACUGGGGAAUGCUCAUCUUCUAAACGUCAUAAGGGUUUGUUCUAAAUGCACAUGAUGAGGCAGCAUUUUGUAUUCUAUCUUAUAUUCCACUUCUUGUCUUGUUCCGGGCUCUAAUGAGCCUGGUUAUUACAUGUCAUCCAGGGGACAAGCUGCUUAUUCCAAAGCUUCAAGUGUUGUAGAGCAGAAAAUUGGCUCAAUCUGGACAGUUGCGUCAUUAACUGUGGAGAGGCUAGCAAUAACUAAAUACAAUCAGUCCUUAAUCAAGGCUUACAUCAAUGGAGUGCAGGAGGCAGGAGCUUCUGGUUUGGGUUUUGCUAUGUUAUACUUUGUCUUUAUCUGCAGCUAUGCUUUGGGCAUUUGGUUUAGUGCGAAAAUGAUAAUCGAGAAAGGAUAUACAGGAGGAGAGGUUGUGACUGUUAUAUUUGUUGUAUUGUAUUGACUGGCUCUAUGUAAGUUGUGUGUUUCUUUUGGUUUCUAAUAAUCUAUAAUUUCAAAUACUUGAUUCUCUCCUCCUGUCUCUAUCGAAGGACUCCAAGGAUUAGACUUAUAAUAUGUAUUUCUGGCUAACUAUA